GAAAAAAAAAAAGGUAGGAUCCCAUUGUUAUUAUCUUUCACAUAAUUAAAUUUAUAAAAAUAAUUUAAAGCCUUUUUUUUAAUAUAUUUAUUUAUUUAUUUGUAACCGAAUAAAAAGCCAAUUAGUAUCCUUGUAAAUUUCCAUUAUUCAUGCACUUCAAGACUCUUCGGUUCUCGCUGGACUCCUUGUUUUUUAGCCUUUCUUUUUUUCCUUUCUCCUAUUUUCUCUCUUCUCUCUCUCUUCUCUUCAGGGAUAUUCUAGCCUGAACUCGCCGGAGAAUCCAUAGAUUCCGGUGGCUUCGCCUUUCUUUGAUCACAGCCAUGAAUUAUGAGUAGUAAGUUGCAUUGAGUCUCUGAAUUUCUAGGCUCUUAGCGCCCAUGUCACACCUCUUUUCCUUUCUAAGUUUCUUCUUCAUUGUCUGUGUUGUACAGUGAUCAUCUUUUCAAGAUUUUGCUUGUUGGAGAUUCUGGGGUUGGCAAAUCAUGUCUUCUUCUGAGAUAUGCUGUGAGUUUGUGUGAAUUGAGUGUUGUUUGGUUGCCUCUUUUUUAUUUUUGCAAUAUCAAGUGGGUGUUUUUCAAAUUUCACACAAUUUUUUUAAGUACUUACAGAGAUGGAAAUGCUAGUUUCUAUGCAUUGGGUAUUUGCCAGAAAAGUCACCCUCCGAAAGGAAAAUAUCUCAAAGGAUUCAAUGAUGGUUUCAGGGUGCAGUGCUCUGUUUCUAUUGGAACCACUUUUAAUGGAAGUGUAUUCUCUAAAAGUGCUUUUGGGGAUUCAAAACGCUUUUAUUAAUGGAAUGAUAUUCUUGGAAGUGUCUAUAAAGUGCUUAACCCUUUUUAUACUUGGAAAUACUUUCUAAAGAUAACUCUUAGUCUAUGACUUCAGCUAGAACUAGGAGGGGUGCCUCUUCUCUUAUGGAUGUCUUUUUCGAUUUGGGGUUUGUUUCUGUGGAGAGUUGGGGUUUUAUAUUUGAGUUGUGGGUGGAAUUCAUUCAUCAGUCUAUUCAUCUCCUACAUUCUUGCUUCUGUCAUCAGUAAUAUUUUCUGCUUUCUGUGCAAACAAACAAGGAGUACUAGUCUGGAAUAUUGAGCUGGCCUACCAUGAAGAGAAGGAUAGUAGUACUUCAUUAGCUACUGAUAAAUUAUGAAUUUUUGAGUUCCUAGUCUUUGGUUUUGUCUCCAGUACCCUCUAAAUGUAGAGCAUUAAUCUUUCUGCGGCCUGUGAUGAUGAACAGAGCUUUGUAUGCGGCUCUAUCUUUAUGAACCUAAUGAUUUCCUUGAUCUCUGACAUACAGGAUGAUACAUAUUCUGAGGCUUACAUAAGCACCAUUGGAGUUGAUUUUGUGAGUAACCAUUCACCAAGAACUAAGCAAUUAUUGACUCUCGAGAAUUUCUUUUUCAAAAGUACUGAUUUUCCCAUGUUUGUUUCCGUAGAAAAUUUGCAGUAUGGAGCGGGAUGGGAGGAACCUUAAACUUCAAAUUGUAUGGUUGGGUUUCUUAAUUUUUUGUUUCAUCUCAUAAGUCAUAAGCACAUGGCUGCUCACACUCUGGUCUUUGCCAAAAUUGUCCACUAAAUAUUUCUGAUUUUACAAGUAGUAUAAGCAUGCUAACACAUUUGAGGAAGAAGCAAUUCAGCAGAUAAACAAAGUUUCUUUCAACUUGUUGGCAGUGGGACACUGCAGGGCAAGAAAGAUUUAGGGCCCUCACUUGCAGCUACUAUCGUGGGGCACACGGUGUUAUGGUCGGUGGUCUCCUCUCCCUUGCUUUCCGAGAGUUGUUUUAAAAAAUAAUUAUAAAAAUAUGAAGAAUAAUUACUCAUACAGACUUCUGUUUUACGAAACAUUAUAAAACAAUUUUAAAAAAUUAUUCUAAAAAACUAUCUUUCACAAACAUUUUUGAAAAGAACUUUUCAAACAGAGCCUAUAUAUUUGAUAUGUUCUCAUCUUCUCUACUAGGUGGUUUAUGAUGUAACAGACCAAGAGAGUUUCGAUAAUGUGAAGAUGUGGGUGAAAGAAGUUUAUUCCACGGCUGGUAAGAAUGUCAACAUAUUUCUACUAGGAAACAAGUCUGAUCUCACGGCAGAUAGAGUAGUGUCAUAUAAAACAGCCAAGGUAUCAUAUCAUUGCUGUGUCUUCAAGUUCAAUUCAAGCUCAUAUAAUAAGCUUGCAGCAUUUUGUUUGAAGAUUCAUAAGAACCUACAGUCUUUAACCAUUCAGCUUCCAGGCAUUAGCUGAUGAAAUUGGGGCACCUUUAAUGGAAAUCAGUGCAAAAGAUGGAAGUAAUGUCCAACAGGCUUUCAUAGCCAUGGCUACUGCAGUCAAGGAGAGGUAGGUAUUCAUCAAUAAUUUUUUUUUCUCCUUGGUGCUUUCCGGGAUGGAAACCAAGUCUUAAUACUGUUAAUAAUAAAUAAUGCAGGGUGGUGAAGGAACGAGCCACGGACAAUGGCAGAGACUCAGGAGUAAAAACCAGAGGAAAGCCCAUUUCACAGAGCCGUAGCUGCUGCGGAUCUUAAAAGCCCAGACUUGUAUUUCCAACUUCCUUGUAUUCUAGCUGCUUCGCUGGAUUCUUAUCCAACAUAUUAGCUUACUCUAAUCUUGGUUGCAUUCAAGGUUUUGUUUUUUGUCUUUCAUUAUUCCUGAUCAGAACCAGUCAUUAGGAAUCUAUCAUUCAGUUGUAGGUUUGAAAGUUCUUUUCAUGGUUGUUGAGAUACAAGUGUGUAAAUCAGAAUAUCAAUACAUACUUUCAUCAUUCUUAGCCUCCCCUAUCUUUGAGCUUCUAGUAAUUGCAAUGUCAUGAAUUGUGGUAAUUUGGAUCAUAACUAAACACAUCGAGAUCAACAAUCAAAUCUAAAACAUAAACCCUAAAAAAAUCCUAUUUGAUAAUCAAAUCUUAUAUGAUCAACUUUUUAAAUCAUAAUUAACCUGUUUAUUCAAAAUCAAAUUUUAAAUUAGUAAAUUGUAGUAUAAAAAGAUUAAAAUGAUACUUAAGUUGAUCACUACAACAUGAUGCAGAUUGACCCAAAAACAACCAAAUUAUUAAACACCCAAAACGUAAUCAUACCCGAACGUUGCCACCCGAAUGUUGGGCAAUAUGACAUUUGACAGGGCCAGCUCAGAUACUCCAAAAGUCCUGAGGAAGAAGACAAAUCCAGGACCAGUGACCCUUGAAAACACCGCAACUCCCCAAUAUAACGUCCAGAAAAGGGAAUAAUACGACAGCACCACCAAUAAAGCAUAUCUCCUCUUUGAAGGAGGAUACGACAAGAUUGUUCAGAGCUGUGAAUUUGGUUGCCCCUCCAAUGAAGGACCGGCAUAUUUGGAUAAUAAUAUAUAUAUAUUUACAGACCAAAUGAUAACAGAAAUGACAACAGUUUUGCAAAGAAAGACUGAUGUCAAGCAGUACCACAAGUCCCAAUUCAGAAAUAAGCAAAAUCGCGUCCCAUCUAUUCCAGAAACAAAACUGAGCAACAUCAAUUUCUAGUCAUAAAUAAAUUGUUUCACAUGCCCCAAAUUCUCAAAACGGCCAAUAAUAAGAGGAAAAGAAAGAAAGAAAACACAGCAUACCACUUAAAAACGAAAAACUACAGGGGAACGCAUGAAACACCUGAAAUUUACAUUUUUAAGGCAUAAAAUUUAAGAGAUCUUUUUGAUACAGGAAACCCCAUUAUUCUAGUCAAUUUCCCGCUCAAGAUUGAAGGACAGAAGCCCAAGGAAAGGAAAAACCAAAGAGAGAUUGGAAGUGGGGGGUAAGACAAAAUCUCACUUGGCACCUAAGGUUGGGAACUGUCCUGGAUCUUCAAUGGAAGGGGCUGCCACAUUGCUCAUUGCAUUGCCUCCACCAUACCCACCUCUAGAACCACGACCACGCCCUCGACCACGACCACCUGGGCUGUAGAACCUCUCCCCUUCAGCAGGCUUCAAGAACUCAUUAAUGCUGACAGCCUACAACAAACCACCACCAAUCAAUCAGAUUCAGCAUCAUCCAGAAAGGGGAAUAAUUGGAAUUGCUAGACUGUAUUAAUAAAGAUGCCCAACAAUGCUGUCGAAUCUUAUGGGAAUAAAAAUGGUGGAAUGGACAUUCAUAGAAGUAAUAUCAAGUACAAUUGAAUCCUGAAAGCAUAGCAGAGAACUAAAAUCAGAAGGCAAAAAUUAAGCAUAAAAUCUAAUUUCUUUUCAUAAAGGGAUUUUAACAGGACAAGCCAAAUGCCAAGCCACAUCUAGGUUGAAGUAACCAAAGAAAUCUACAAAAUCAGUUGAUCUAGUGAACCAUGCCUGAAAGGCUCUGGACUAAAUGUCAAGUCCCAGGAAUAUAAACAACCACAGAGAAGAUGCAGUAACAGUAAACAAGAAAUGAGAUCCAUGGAAGACAUGAGGAAGAAAUGCAGAUCUAUUGGGAGGUAAGAUUGUGGGUUAAAGAAUAAACAAGUUGACAUUGAGAGACAGAUUGGUGAAUGUUGUACUAAAUCAGGGACAAGAAAAUUUUAAUUGUACCCUAGAUUGCAUAGCAACACAAGGCUCAAAAAAGAGAGGAUAUGAUCAUAUGGAGAAGGAUAUAAAUGAGUUGCUAAGAAAAUGUACCUUCUUGGCUCUCUCUUCCUUCUCAGCAGCCUCUUUCCGCUUAUCCUUAUCAGAGCCCUGGAAGAGAGUUUAAACAGCAAAGAUUGUUAAGAUACUAGAAGUCAGCUUCAUAACAUGAUUAGUACAAGAAUAAUGCACGAAGAUUCAACGGAUUUCACCAAUUUGAUGAAGAUGUCAUCAUUCCCCUUCUUGCUUGAAAGCUGUUGCAUGGACUUGAACUCUUUAUCAACAUCCACUUUUCUUUCCUCAGUCUUAAGUGUCUGCAGAGCCUUCCUCCUUUCUUCCAGCACCUUCUCAUACUCCUCAAGUGUCAUCUCCUAUUUACAAGAUACAAGGACCAUAAGCAAUAUCCGAUUGGUGCACAAUAAAUAUUGCACAGAUGCCAGUAAGAUCUCUUACUAAUAGAAUGGGAGAUUUUUCAACCAAAAAUAAAAAAUUUAAUGAACAAUGUUGUAAGAAAUAUAUUUUAAUCUACAAUAUUAACUUGAGAUUACCUUAAGUAACAAAAGCUCAUUACUUCUUGAUACUUGUGCUGAAAAAGCUAUUGCAGAAGCACUACAAUUAUUUUUUUUUUAUCAGAAUGGCAAUUAUUAUUACUAUUAUUAUGGAGGGUUGUGUGUAUCUUGGGAGUGGGUGGGUGGGGUGAGGGCUUUCCUGAAGGGAAUGCCAUCUAAUGCUCAAUAAGGCAAACAGUAGAAAAUUAAAAUUUAAGCCUACAUAACAUAGGUUGAAGCAUAUAGCAUGGUUCAGAGGCUGGAUACUACCAUUGUCAGAUCAGAAUUAACAAGCUAAUAUUUUCUUCGAUAAUAACAGUUUCAUUUCCUAGAAUAUUUGAUUACAUAUUUUAAGGCCCCCACCACCCAGCAAAAAGAUAAACCAGAAUUUAAAAAAACUAGAUAAUAUAUAUGGAUUACAGCCACAAAGAACCUGAUAUCAACAAAAAUAUUUCCUCAUAUCAUGCAUGCAUAAUAAAGCAACGGGCACAGUUCAUAUCUCAAGAUGUGAAAAAUAAACAAAGCUAAAAUUCUCUUAGAUAAUCAAAGUUUCACUUCCUAGAAUAUUUGAUUAAAUAUUUUAAGGCCCCCACCACCCAACAAAAUGAUAAACCGGAAAAAAAAAAGUAGAUAAUAUAUAUGGAUUACAACCAUGAAGAAGCUGAUAUCAACAAAAAAAUAUUUCCUCAUAUCCUGUAUGCAGCAUAAAGCAAUGAGCACAGUUCAGAUCUCAAUAUGUGAAAAAUUAAUCAAUAAAGAAUUCACCAUUCCAUUGGCAUAUGCAAAGCAAUGCACAAUGUGGGAAUACUUUAGAGCUUAAUUUAUGGGGAAAGAUAUCAUACUGAAUUGUACUU
rnacentral:lncRNA from 1 species